rnacentral:rRNA from 1 species
AUUGAACGCUGGCGGCAUGCUUUACACAUGCAAGUCGAACGGUAACAGGGUGCUUGCACCGCUGACGAGUGGCGAACGGGUGAGUAAUGCGUCGGAACGUGCCGAGUAGUGGGGGAUAACGCAGCGAAAGUUGUGCUAAUACCGCAUACGUACUGAGGUAGAAAGUGGGGGACCUUCGGGCCUCACGCUAUUCGAGCGGCCGACGUCUGAUUAGCUAGUAGGUGAGGUAAAGGCUCACCUAGGCGACGACCAGUAGCGGGUCUGAGAGGAUGCUCCGCCACACUGGGAGUGGGACACGGCCCAGACUCCUACGAGAGGCAGCAGUGGGUAGUUUUGGACAAUGGGCGAAAGCCUGAUCCAGCCAUGCCGCGUGUCUGAAGAAGGCCUUCGGGUUGUAAAGGACUUUUGUCAGGGAGGAAAUCCCUAGUGCUAAUAACACUGGGGGAUGACAGUACCUGAAGAAUAAGCACCGGCUAACUACGUGCCAGCAGCCGCGGUAACAC